ensembl:processed_transcript 1110018N20Rik RIKEN cDNA 1110018N20 gene
GGGGGGCGGGGAGCUCUGCAGGCCGCUGUGGUGCAGGGGUGCGCGAGGGCGGGCGUCGCGGCUACCGUCUCACCUCCAUCCCGACGGCUGCGAGGCAGAAAGCGAAAGCGGACACGGAAGAUUUUGGGCCGAGUGAGGACUGUGGAGGCUACCAGAUGCCCACCUGUCGGAGGCCACCAGGCUGCCCUGUCCUGGGGCGACCCCACUCCUCACAACACCAGGACCCGAGACCGCUCCGGAGACCAGGAGAAAGGUUCGGUCAAUCAUGAGUACUACUGGGGAGUCAUGGGGGCAGGGGAGGCCAUGCUGAGAGCGUAACCCAGGAGCUCAGCAGGGCCUCUCAGAAGUGAGGACAGACUCCACCACCAUGGAGGACUGACCAGAAUGUGUGUAGCAUCUGCUAGUGGGGGACCAGAUUAAACAGUGUGGAAGAAGGAAGACCACUUGCCCUUGUUGGCCUGGCCUCUUGCUUGAAGCGUUGGACGAUGAUGAUGAUGAUGAUGACGACGACGGCAACAACAACGACGACGACGAUUCCUCCACUGAAAACAGAAGCAGCAGCCAUUUCAGGUUUCCAUCCCGGACCAAGGACCUUCAAGUCUCCAGGGACUUGCAGAUUUUUGGUGCAGGAUUGAUGACUACUGAGGCACCUCCAGGACCAGUCAGCUCCCAGAUUCCCAGCCUCGGUGUUGAGACUAUUUCAGAGUGAGCUGAUGACAUGCAUUCUCUAAUAUAUUUGGUAUAUAAAAUGUUUCAUAUUUAAUAUAGAAAAUGUGGGAUCCCAUCAAUUCUGUUCCUCCAGAAAAUCUCAGCUUA